rnacentral:rRNA from 1 species
GACGAACGCUGGCGGCGCGCCUAACACAUGCAAGUCGAACGAGCGAGAGAGAGCUUGCUUUCUCGAGCGAGUGGCGAACGGGUGAGUAACGCGUGAGGAACCUGCCUCAAAGAGGGGGACAACAGUUGGAAACGACUGCUAAUACCGCAUAAGCCCACGGUGCCGCAUGGCACAGAGGGAAAAGGAGCAAUCCGCUUUGAGAUGGCCUCGCGUCCGAUUAGCUAGUUGGUGAGGUAACGGCCCACCAAGGCGACGAUCGGUAGCCGGACUGAGAGGUUGAACGGCCACAUUGGGACUGAGACACGGCCCAGACUCCUACGGGAGGCAGCAGUGGGGAAUAUUGCACAAUGGGGGAAACCCUGAUGCAGCGACGCCGCGUGGAGGAAGAAGGUCUUCGGAUUGUAAACUCCUGUUGUUGGGGAAGAUAAUGACGGUACCCAACAAGGAAGUGACGGCUAACUACGUGCCAGCAGCCGCGGUAAAACGUAGGUCACAAGCGUUGUCCGGAAUUACUGGGUGUAAAGGGAGCGCAGGCGGGAAGACAAGUUGGAAGUGAAAUCUAUGGGCUCAACCCAUAAACUGCUUUCAAAACUGUUUUUCUUGAGUAGUGCAGAGGUAGGCGGAAUUCCCGGUGUAGCGGUGGAAUGCGUAGAUAUCGGGAGGAACACCAGUGGCGAAGGCGGCCUACUGGGCACCAACUGACGCUGAGGCUCGAAAGUGUGGGUAGCAAACAGGAUUAGAUACCCUGGUAGUCCACACCGUAAACGAUGAUUACUAGGUGUUGGAGGAUUGACCCCUUCAGUGCCGCAGUUAACACAAUAAGUAAUCCACCCGGGGAGUACGACCGCAAGGUUGAAACUCAAAGGAAUUGACGGGGGCCCGCACAAGCAGUGGAGUAUGUGGUUUAAUUCGACGCAACGCGAAGAACCUUACCAAGUCUUGACAUCCCUUGACAGACAUAGAAAUAUGUAAUCUCUUCGGAGCAAGGAGACAGGUGGUGCAUGGUUGUCGUCAGCUCGUGUCGUGAGAUGUUGGGUUAAGUCCCGCAACGAGCGCAACCCUUAUGGUCAGUUACUACGCAAGAGGACUCUGGCCAGACUGCCGUUGACAAAACGGAGGAAGGUGAGGAUGACGUCAAAUCAUCAUGCCCUUUAUGACUUGGGCUACACACGUACUACAAUGGCGUUAAACAAAGAGAAGCAAGACCGCGAGGUGAAGCAAAACUCAGAAACAACGUCCCAGUUCGGACUGCAGGCUGCAACUCGCCUGCACGGAGUCGGAAUUGCUAGUAAUCGUGGAUCAGCAUGCCACGGUGAAUACGUUCCCGGGCCUU